UACCAGCACCCCGAGUGGUCGGGACGAUUAUUGGGCCUAAAGCAUCCGUAGCCGGUUCUGCAAGUCCCCCGUUAAAUCCAGCUGCUCAACAGAUGGGCCGCGGAGGAUACUACAGAGCUAGGAGGCGGGAGAGGCAAGCGGUACUCGAUGGGUAGGGGUAAAAUCCGUUGAUCCAUUGAAGACCACCAGUGGCGAAGGCGGCUUGCCAGAACGCGCUCGACGGUGAGGGAUGAAAGCUGGGGGAGCA
rnacentral:rRNA from 1 species